AAUAAAUAAAAGCAAUCUGUGGUGCCUACAGGCAUGUACCUGCUGGUCUGCAAGUGGGACCUCACAAUGAGAUGCUUCCCAAUGCAGGAAAACUCACUGACCACUGACCACUCACUCACUGACUCUGUUGGACACCUCUCUGGAUUCCUCUGGAACAGUGAAGAGGGUUGUGGAAAUGGAGCAGAACAGGACCAACUCUGGCAUUUUGGCUGCUGCAGCUGAGAACAUUGAUCUGAAACUGUAUCCUGAAAUGCUGAGACCAUUGGUGAGCUGUAGGAGGCCUUCAGGAAUUACCAGCUUUACUCCAGAAGGAAAAGAUUCUCGUUUGCUAAGAGCCAGAGUAAACCAGACUUGCCUCUCAGGAUCUGCAUACCACAACAGUCCAGAGAUCACCGUUGUGGAGAUUUCUUUUGAUGAGAAGACUCAAGGUCACAGUUAA
rnacentral:lncRNA from 1 species